AGUCCCACGUGCGUGCCGCGAACCGGACGCGCGCCGAGCGGAGGGUCUGUCUGCUGGGAAGUUUGGGAGGCCUUGGGGUGCAGUUGAGGCGCAGGUGCGGGCGCGGGUCCGUGCGGGCGAGCACAGAGAUCCCGCCGCCUGCUCUCUCGCCGUGGGACCCGGCGCCCCGAGCCCGGCGCUAAAGGCACUCUGAUUUGGGGGAGCAAGCCAAUUUAGAGCCUUCAUACCGGCUCAUCUACAGGUUGCAUUUUUUAAAAGCCACGUAUGAGAGUUCCUGUUGCUCCACAUCCUCACCUGCCUUUGGUGGUGUUAGUGUCUGGAUUUUGGCUCUUCUAACAGGGAGUGGCAGAUGGAGAGAGCCUUCCAGACGGCGCUGUGGCUGCUGCAGCCGGAGGUGGCCUUCAUUCUGGGGGACGUCUUUGAUGAAGGGAAGUGGAGCUCCCCCCAGGUGGGACCCUGCGACCUCUGCACACUCAUCCUGCGGUGAGGUCCAGCACAGGAAGCCAUGGGAUCUGAGAAGCCAUCCCCCUGUGGCACAGCCAUCCCCCACUGUGCCAGUGUUAGAAGCAUAUAAUCUGGGAGCUCCCUGGUGGCACAGCGGGUUCAGGACCCAGUGGUGAUUGUCACUGCUGUGGUGUGGGUUUUAUCCCUGGUUCGGGAAUUUCUGCCUGUGGUAGGCACAGCCAAAAAAAGUACAGUCUGUCUUGAAGAUCUUAGGCUCUGUGUCAAUGCCAGCCCUGGGUUAGGAGUUCUAAUCUUACAUUUAUCAGUGUAGGAGAUACAUGGAUUAGCCAAACACCCCUUCCCAGGACCCUUUCGGAAGAGGGAAGGUAGGCAAGAGGGAUGUUCCUUCAGCUGUCCUUGGAUUACAGAAUACCUGUGGAAGUGUGGUCUGAGUUUGUGCCUCAAGGUUGCUUUCCUUCUGAGGGAGGUUGGGAGGGAGCUGGGGGCUUGGCGGGGCUUCCUCAGCCCUCAGGGCCCGAGUCCAGCUGAUGUGAACCUUUCCACAAACCCAGGGAGAGGCUGUCCUGGCCUUGGUGUCAGAAUGCUUUGCUUAUUGCAUUUCUGAGAUUAAUAAUAAUAACAAAAGAAAGAUGUUCUCGCUGCUUAGUUAAAGAUGUUCAAUCACUAAUGGUUUUGUGAGAUAUUUUAAAAAAAUUCAUUGAAGUUUCCCGGGACAAUUCAAAAUCUGUACAAAGAAAGUCUUGGUCUGGAUGUGAUAGAAACCUACUUUUCCUAGGGCUGCAGUGUUUGCUGUAAUCUAGUCCGUAAGUAAUUAUAAGGUGAUUGGAAAUGCUGUUGUCAGAAGCAACCAGUUAUGAAAUGAGGUUGGAUAUAGAUAUUGCUUUUGCAAAUUAAGGUGAACGUUUUAUGUUUUUCUAGUUUUAUGUUAUUCUAACUUUAUUUGUUCAUUUUUAUAAAUGUUUUGAAGGAAUGUCUAGCAAGCAUAUUUCCUUAGCUGGCACAAAUUUAAAACUCUCAGGAUAAAGUUGACCACUAUUCAGCUAAGUAUUGUCCAACCUGGAGUGUUGUCCAGUUUGUGUUUUUAGGCUUAACAAAAGUGAGAAUUAAAUGAACAUCAUUCUCAGGCUUUAACAGUUAAACCGGGAGUUCCCAUCGUGGCGCAGUAGUUAACGAAUCCGACUAGGAACCACGAGGUUUCGGGUUCGAUCCCUGCCUUUGCUCAGUGGGUUAAUGAUCCGGCGUUGCCAUGAGCUGUGGUGUAGGUUGCAGACGCGGCUCGGAUCCCGCGUUGCUGUGGCUCUGGCGUAGGCUGGCAGCUACAGCUCUGAUUAGACCCCUAGCCUGGGAACCUCCCAUAUGCAGUGGGAGCGGCCCAAGAAAUGGCAAAAAGACAAAAAACCAAAAAGCAAAACAAAAAAACAACAGUUAAACCGAAAGUCAGAAAGGUCAAGAAGUUUGUUGGAUUUUGUUUUUCUGUCUGCCACAUCUCGUCGGUCCCCACCCCACUGUCCUGCCACAGUGAGCUGACCCUGAUGGCCCUGGUCCUUGGCCUGGUGGAGAUGUGUUGCACCUGAUGUUUCUUCAGGGCCUGUCCUUAGGACAAGCCCAGAUCCAAAGGGAAUCCCAGCCUGGGGUACCUGCCUGGUGUCAGGAGAGCCGGAAAUGGGUCCCUGAAGCAGGAGUUGUGGGGAGUGCCAGUUUGUGUUUGAAGAUGGGGGAGAUACCCUAUGUCAUUAACAUCUGACAUAAAAUUAAAUCAUUAAAACGCUAAGUUAGUCUUGGGAAGAGAAGUUAGAACAUAGAAUUGGGAAUUCCGCAUCUUGGCUUAAGGAACAUCUGACCUGGACAGUGAGUGACCUCGCCUCACCACGGGGCAGAGGUUGCCGGGUCUCAGCGAUGGCACUUCUUCCUGCAGGCCUGGGCGGACGACGUGGCCCGGUUCCGGAGGAUGUUCCGACACCCACCCCAUGUGCAGCUAAGGGCAGUCGCUGGCAACCACGACAUCAGCUUCCACUACGAGAUGAACACAUACAAAAUAAAACGAUUUGAGAGAGUUUUCAACCCAGAAAGGCUGUUUUCUUGGAAAGGAAUUAAUUUCGUGAUGGUCAACAGCAUGGCCCUGGAAGGGGACGGCUGCACCAUAUGCUCUGGGGAAGAGGCUGAGCUCCUGGAAAUCUCUCACCGCCUCAACUGCUCUCGGGAGGUAGGGCACCCCCGCCCCUGCCGCCCCUGGCCGGCCCCAGUCUCCCGUGUCCCUCCCCACCGGCCAGUGUCCAGAGAUCGAGGGGUUCUCGGGUUAAGGGACUGACCUCUGACCAGCAGGAGCGUCGCCCCCGCGGGUGUGCAGACGGGCAGCGGCUGCCGGCCUCGGCCCCAGUCCUUCUACAGGUGAGCAGCCCCACCCGCAGCUGCCAGCAGCGCCGGGGCUCCUGGUCCCCUGACUCUUCUCUGGUUCCGGACAGCACUUCCCGCUUUACCGGAGAAGCGACACCAACUGCUCCGGGGAGGACGCCGCGCCCCCCAAUGAGAAGGACAUCCCCUUCAGGGAGCGGUAUGAUGUGCUGUCCCGGGAGGCCUCGCAGAAGCUGCUGUGGUGGUUCCGGCCGCGCCUGGUCCUGAGUGGCCACACGCACAGCGCCUGUGAGGUCCUGCACGGGGCCAGCGUCCUUGAGGUCAGCGUGCCAUCUUUCAGUUGGAGAAACAGAAACAACCCCAGUUUCAUCAUGGGCAGCCUGACUCCCACGGAGUACGCCCUCACCAAGUGCUACCUGCCCUGUGAGGACACAGUGCUGAUCACAUACUGUGUGGCGGUGGGGACCCUCGUGCUCCUCACCCUCCUCCAUGUGGGGCUCCUGACCUCUCCCUUGCGUUUCGGUUGGAACCUGCUCAGGAAGUUUAAGACUACGUGAGCAGCAGGGGCUUGCUGCACUUCGUGAUGGAGCCAAAGGAACUGGACCUGGGCUGUACCCAUGGAGGGGAGACCUCAGGAGUGUGAGUGGGGACCACUCAGGGUCCUGCAGAGCCAGUGGCUGAUGCGUUGUUCUCGUGCCGUAGCAACGCAACCUGUCCUGUACAAUGAGCCUGUCUUUUAUCACAUACACGUGCGGUCAGCGACUGAGUGUACAGCAUGUGACAGCUGUGAGCAUGUCACUUCAUGCGCUGACAGCCCUCCUUCCCUGCGGCCCAGCCGGAAACACUGAUUUGCUUCUGUCCUCCUGUGAGCGCUUCUCAGAGCCUAUGUUGUAUAAAUAUGUAUACUAAAAAUAAAACUACAGAUGCUACGAGCAGAAAUAUAUUGUUCUCAGAGACUUGUAUUUCUCACUAAAUUAAUGGAAUCGGCGUUUAGGUAAAUGUAAUUUUCCCUCUAGCCGACCAAGCUGUUAAAUGUGAAUUGAAUGUCAGUGAUCAAAAGAAACUUGAGAAAUGGACCAGGAAGAGGCUUUUGGUAUUUUAAAAUAAACAUGCCUUGGCAAUUUUAAGCCAGAUAAAA